GCGUGGCGCAAUCGGAUAGCGCACUGGACUUCUAAUCCAGGGGUUGUGGGUUCGAGUCCCACCGUG
rnacentral:tRNA from 1 species